CCAAUCCACGGGGGCAGCAGUAGGGAAUAUUGCUCAAUGGGGGAAACCCUGAAGCAGCAACGCCGCGUGGAGGAUGAAGGUUUUCGGAUUGUAAACUCCUUUUGUUAGAGAAGAUAAUGACGAUAUCUAACGAAUAAGCACCGGCUAACUCCGUGCCAGCAGCCGCGGUAAUACGGAGGGUGCAAGCGUUACUCGGAAUCACUGGGCGUAAAGAGCGCGUAGGCGGGAUAGCAAGUCAGAUGUGAAAUCCUAUGGCUUAACCAUAGAACUGCAUUUGAAACUGUUAUUCUAGAGUAUGGGAGAGG
rnacentral:rRNA from 1 species